AUGUUAAAAGUGGAAGAUCAAAAGAGAAAGAUAAAUCCUCAAAUCCUGUCACUACUCAAUCAGAUCCUGUGUUUGGGGGUCCCUUGACUCCGAAGAACUCCUUAUUCAUUUACUGAGAUGAUCACAGAUACUGCCUAGCAGUGAUUCAGAAUGGCUCAACUGCCUUCCAAUGAUGGAGUUUAUUUUAAAAUGUACUUUAAAUGACCAUGUGAAUGAGAUGGCCUUGGUCUCCCAAUUCUGUUUCAUCAUCUACAGACUGAGACCAUGGACAGUCUUGACUUAGAAAUCAGGCAAUUGCCAACGUGUCCACAGAUGCAAGAGUGACCUCCAACUUACAUUACUGGACAGGUGGGACAAAGCAUUUCAAAAGACUGCUCCCAAACCAAGUUUGUCAAGUCUGAAUUCCAGUGCAGAGAUCUGGCAGCUGGAAUGUGUGGCCCCUGGGGACAGCAAGACCACCACGACUUGCCGACUCCCCCUAAGCGCUACUCACGGGAGAAGUUAACAGGAGGCAUAAAACCAAUUACAACUGCUGUAACAUCAAAGGCAAUUUGGAGACUAGUUUAACCCUUGAGAAGAGCUCCUCAGAAGAACACCAGAAAUCAAACAGGAGACUCUACAUGUACAGAAUUUUAUGUGGAAAGAAUGGAAUCUGCAGGGAAGAAGAAAAUGCCAUAGAAAGAAGAGAAUAAACCAAAGUGGGAGAAAGAGAAUAAAAAAAAUAAAUGAAAACAGACAGGAUAUUCCAACCAUGAUGGUCAAGGAGCCAUUCUCAAGACAAGAUGCCACAUUCAUUACCAGGGUCUUCAAGGGUUUAACACCUAUGGGGGCCCCAUAAGGUAAACAAAAACCACAGCGGUUACUCCACUUCCCAGCUCUUACAUCUCCAUGGCACCGAGCAUCAGCGUAUUCGUAAAAAGCCCAAUUAAUUGUCCAUGAGCAUUCCUGAUACUUCCUGCAAAUACACUAGGUCUCUAAAACAAAGUAAAUACACACUUGGUUCAGACAGGUUUCUUUUUCUUUGCAAAAUGACACCUCAGCGACAUAAAAGUUAGUCCUGAUGCACAGGAGAAGGGAGGCAAAAUAAACACAAGCCCAGCAUUUCUUUGAGGAUGGUGGAGUGGAGCGUUACUAAACACACAGAGAACCUUCCGAAGCUGAGGCCAAAACAUUCGAUUUAGCAGUUUGCUUCUGGGGUUUGAUGUGACCGGGGGGCCACUGAUGUGUAUUCUGAGCUCUCAGGUCAAAGGUCCAUAUCGUGCCUUUGAAAGGCCUCCUUCAAAGACCCUCUCAAAAACAAAUCAACAAAGCCCAUUGCCUACCCUGCAACAUGCACGCUAUCACUCGGGAGGCAUCUGCAAAAAGGGCUUUGGAAAUGUGAGCAGAGAGAACCCAGCAGUUGGAGGAUGCCUGAGAGCUCUCUUUCAAUUUUUCCUGGGCCAUAAGAAGUGUAUUUCCCACAGCUGCUGAAUCUUUGCUUCUUAUCAUGCAACAUAACUUACCCCAGUGCCUAGCGCAGUGCCAGCCACUUCACAGAUGGUCACCAAUGGUUGCAGAAUGAGUCCUUCUAGGAAAAGGUGUCAGGGCUGAGCCCAAGCCGUAUGGAAUAAAGCUCUAAGCCAUAUCGUCAUGACUGUGGCCCUGUGGCCCUUCUAGUGACGACAAUAAAGACUGAGCCCUCCUGCUGUGACUGUACAGGGCUAAGCACCUUCCCUGCUUCUUGUCUUUCUGAGACACAGACCUCUAUCAGGGAGCCCUUGGGAAGGAGACUUGAAAUAAAACAAGAUUUCUAUGGGUCCAGGAUGAAGAUGGGGAACGGGAAGGCAAGAAAUUUUGGGAAGGCUGGCUAUUUUUUUGGAGGCCACUUUUAUUGUCUUCUACUUUAUACAGGAUACUCAGUUUGAUUUACACUCCCCUGUCUCUGAAUAAGCCAAGAAGCCCCAAAAUGUUUCAUGAUAUUAAAUUAACUGCUCUAAUUUCCCCAGGAAGCUCGAAUUUCGGCAAACAAUAUGAGUGCUAAAAUGAUACCAGAGUCCAUUUAGAGAGGAAUCCUCCGACAAGCACUAAAUGCAGACUCCCCGAGAGCAGCUUUCUGACUACUGUAUUUUUAUACUCUGAGAAUAUAAACAAGGCAGAAAGGAAAGCCAGCGUGAGUGAGGACUUAAAAUAAUCUCCGCAAACGGCAGACUGGGAGAUAGCACUUUUGAAAGAAUUCCCAUUAGUAAGCAUAAUAUACUCCUAUUAUCACAGUUCAUCUCUUUCAAUUACAAUGUGAAAUUUCGUAAUUGAAGCAGGAUUAGAAAUGUUUUUGUGCUUCAGAAAUUAAAGCAGCCUAUCUAAAUCCUUUACAAAGGGUUAAAAAACUGACUACAAUUUAAAAAGCUUCUAACUAUCUCCCAACAGUAACCAAAAAAAGAAGAAAGAGAUAAAGAAAGAAGGAAAAGAAAAAGAAUUUUUUUUAAAUUCAGGAUUUCAAUGAUGCAUUUAAGUCCCCAUGAAGAAUACCUUGAAAAUAGAUAUCUUCAGAAAUAGGCUUUGGGUAUCUGGAAGAAAAGUCGAAUUCCAAACUAGGUAUCUACAUGCAAGGUCUGCACAUCAGGGGAUACCCAUCCAGUUGUUCAUUCCUCAUCCAGAUGUUCUGGGGGCCCAGCAUCUCAUCAGGUGGAUGGUUAAACUUAGCCUGAGGGCACUGUCCCUCCAGAGGCCCCAAAUCCAGCAGCAGCGUUCUGCUCUGAGCUUCUGUUCAUGUUCCUCCUCAUGCUAAAUGGGAGAAGUAGCUAAGGCUCAGCACCCUUUAGAGUUUAACAAUUUGCUAAUUUCUGAAUAAAUCUAUCCCUACCAAAUGUGCCAAAUAAGUGUGGGGACUUCUGCAUGAAAUUCACAAGGGAAGCCUUACUAGAAACCCAAAGCAAGUCAACAGUCAUGAAAUCCAACAAGGAAUUAACCCAUAAGAGUAACAUAGUACUAUUAGAUGUUCACACUGUCUUAGGUACUCAGGAUGAAGAAUAAAGUAUAAGACACGCUUUGAAAAUAUUUGGAAGAAAGUUGCCACCUCUGGUUUUCACAGCUGAAUUAUACUGAAAGGUUUAAGGGAAUUUAAACACCUAAACUAUAAUAAUUUGAAUUAGUUUUUGAUGAAAUAUAUAUAUGUUCAUCAAUGUACAUAUUUGAAGUAUUCUUUUUCUAGACGGAGGAGAAAUAGAAUAUUGUAACUGUAAAAAGAAAACCAGGGGAAUCCCUGCUUUCAUGAACCAAGGCAGAAGACAAAAUGUGAAGCAGCCUUGACAUGCUAUUUCUUUCCUCCCUAUUAUCCAAUUGUCCUUUAAGCAGAGAAUAGGAAAUCUAGAAGCGCUUUUGAAGGUUGUUUUUUUUUAUGACAGUUUAACAUUCUAAAAAAUCAUUAUUGAAGAACAAAUUAUAGAAGCAUUUGUCUGCUGCUAGCUGGGGUCUUUGAAAAAAAUAAAGCUCAAGGUUAUUUUAACUGACAAAAGGAAAAAAAUUAUCUUCAAAAGAAACGCAUAUACUUCAUAUAACUGAGUACUGGUUACACUUCCUCAGAGAAAUCAAACACUUGAUCUAAGCCACAAUCUGCUAAUGAAUUGUCACUGCUUCUCAUCAUUUGAGGGCUACUGUAAUUCUACAUUAAAACAACAUCUCAAAUGAGCAAAAGGAGGUGAAUCUAUCAUUUUGCUCAUUUUGUACACUUGCCCACCAGACCCUAGAAUACAUAUAGAUAUGUUUACUGAUUCAUGAAUUAUUUAAGUAUCCACAAAGACCCCUGUCUAUAAAACUGACAACUCUUAUGCCUAUUUUUCCUACAUAUGUAGUUACAUGUAAUAUUGUGUCCAUGUAAAUACAAAUAUAUAUAACUGGUAAAGCAAUUGUUG
rnacentral:lncRNA from 10 species